rnacentral:rRNA from 1 species
GACGAACGCUGGCGGCGUGCUUACACAUGCAAGUCGAACGGAAAGGCCCUGGUUUGGUGGGGUGCUCGAGUGGCGAACGGGUGAGUAACACGUGAGUGAUCUGCCCUUGACUUCGGGAUAACUCCGGGAAACUGGGGCUAAUACCGAAUAGGACCUCUCGCUGCUGGGGGUGGGGUAGGAGUUUUUCCGGCGGAUGAUGAUGGACUCGGCGCUAUCAUCUUGUUGGGUGGGGUAAUGGGCUAUUAACGCGACUACAGGGAGCCCGCCUGAGAGAGGGGAGAGCCGCCUUGUGACAGAGACACUGCCCCCACUACCCCUAGGAGGACGCAGCUGGGGAAUAUUGUCUGCAUGUGCGGAGGACUGAUGAUGCGACACCCCGCGAGGGAUGACGAGCCUUCUUCGUUGUUAACCUCUUUCUCUACGGAGACGACUUUUAAGUGACGGUACCGGGAUAAGAAGCACCGGCUAACUACGUGCCAGCAGCCGCGGUGAUACGUAGGGUGCGAGCGUUGUCCGGAUUUACUGGGCGUAAAGAGCUCGUAGGUGGUUGAUCGCGUCGGAAGUGUAAUCUUGGGGCUUAACUCCUGAGCGUGCUUUCGAUACGGGUUGACUUGAGGAAGGUAGGGGAGAAUGGAAUUCCUGGUGGAGCGGUGGAAUGCGCAGAUAUCAGGAGGAACACCAGUGGCGAAGGCGGUUCUCUGGGCCUUUCCUGACGCUGAGGAGCGAAAGCGUGGGGAGCGAACAGGCUUAGAUACCCUGGUAGUCCACGCUGUAAACGGUGGGUACUAGGUGUGGGGUCCAUUCCACGGGUUCCGUGCCGUAGCUAACGCUUUAAGUACCCCGCCUGGGGAGUACGGCCGCAAGGCUAAAACUCAAAGGAAUUGACGGGGCCCCGCACAAGCGGCGGAGCAUGCGGAUUAAUUCGAUGCAACGCGUAGAACCUUACCUGGGUUUGACAUGGAUCGGGAGCGCUCAGAGAUGGGUGUGCCUCUUUUGGGGUCGGUUCACAGGUGGUGCAUGGCUGUCGUCAGCUCGUGUCGUGAGAUGUUGGGUUAAGUCCCGCAACGAGCGCAACCCUUGUUCACUGUUGCCAGCACGUUAUGGUGGGGACUCAGUGGAGACCGCCGGGGUCAACUCGGAGGAAGGUGGGGAUGACGUCAAGUCAUCAUGCCCCUUAUGUCCAGGGCUUCACGCAUGCUACAAUGGCUGGUACAGAGAGUGGCGAGCCUGUGAGGGUGAGCGAAUCUCGGAAAGCCGGUCUCAGUUCGGAUUGGGGUCUGCAACUCGACCUCAUGAAGUCGGAGUCGCUAGUAAUCGCAGAUCAGCGACGCUGCGGUGAAUACGUUCCCGGGGCU